CCUGACGAGGAACCGGAAGUGGAGCAGUGGGGAGGGGGGAGGGAGGGGAGAGGAGAUCUGCUUUUCUCUCUGGAUCCCUCCAGGCUCCUCCCUUGAGGACUGCCCCAAGGUGAACAUUCCCUGGUUUUCAGGACAGUAACUACCUGGGCCCAGAACCCACUAACCCCACAAAGAUCUCUCCUGAUCCCACGGACUGGCUCUACUCACCUGACCUGUACACAGUCCCACUACGAGGUCUGCAAUGAACGUGUCCUCGGUUUCUCCAGAGCGAUGACUCACCAUAACCCCCCAGCCGUUCUCCUGGGCCAGCUUGCACCUAGAGCAGACACCAGCACUGACCUGCCCUGAAGCACAGCUCUUCCCUCCCAGCCCCGGGCUUGAUCUAUGUCAGGAAGCACCUGGUGGAAGGUGACUUAGGGGCGUGAGGGCGUGAAGAAUGAAGAGACUAGAAGUGAGAACAGUGUGAAGGGUAGCCAGUGUUCACCAGAGUUCCAGGGCAGAAUCCAGCUAGGGGGGGGCUCUCGAGAGGAGUCCUGAAGACACAAGGUGGGAGGAGGCCAGAAGCCACUCACGCUUGGAUGGCUUCUGUGACUGAGCCGAUCUGGUUGACCUUGAGCAGCAAACAGUUGCAGGCCUUCUCCUCCACUGCCCGCUCGAUGCGCUUGGGGUUGGUCACCGUCAGGUCAUCACCCACUAUCUGGAUGCCGACAUUGGCUGUGAACUUGGACCAAGCUGCCCAGUCAUCCUGGUCGAAUGGGUCUUCAAUGGAGACCACUGCAGAGGGUGUGGAGAGGGGGCUGGUUCUUCCCAGAGAAGCCUGCUAUGAUGGAGGCCAACUGCCUCCACGAAGCAGGAUGGAGGCCCUUUGUAGCUGUGGAGACUCUGUACCUCAGUGAUCCCCUCCCUGCCCCCGCCCCAGGCAGCCGCGCUGACUCCAUUCAGUAUCUAUCUUCAUCAAUCAAGGAUACUAAAGCCUGGCACUUUUCUGUCACCUCCACUCAUGUUCUUCCCAUCCCCGACUCCUUCCAGUGCUUUCCCUAGGACUCAAGUAGCUCUCAGAGCCCAGGGUCUGAAACAGGCGGAGGAGCCCAGUCACAGUUGCAUGCACAGUCUCAAAGGUCUGCAUUGUAAGAACCUACUGCCUCUUCUCCCUGCUUCAGGACGUCACCAGGCCCCAGACUCUGCACCCCAUAAAGUUCACCUCUGCCUAUCUCCGUUCUUUCCCUUUCCUAUCUCCCAGAAUCCCUCACUCUCACCAGGAUAGUUCCGGACAAAGUCCUGGUAGAGUGCCCCAAGCUGGUCCCCAGUGAUGCAUCGGGAAGGGUCAGCGGGAGACUUGAAAUCCAAGUCGUAUUUGCCAUCGCGGUAAAACUCAGAGGCAGCCACAUCCAUACCAAUCACCAUCUUUUCCGUGUAGCCAGCCUUGUCAAUGGCUUCCUUCACCAGCUCCAAAGCUAAAGACAGAUCCAGUGAGAUUUUAAGUAGGAGAGAUAGGUGUGAAGGAAGGCGGGUGAAAAAAGCCAGAGUGGAAGGAGGGGGACUAUUGGAGGGGGUGUGUGAAUAGGGUCUGUGGAGAGAGGCUACCUAGGGAGACAAGAGUAGAAUUCUGUUACUAGUUACUAGUUACUAGUGUUGGUCCCCCUCCCCACACCCACUCAGCCACACAGCUUCUUGGUGCUGGGGCUUGAACCUAAGGCCUCAUUCAUUUGAGGCAAGUUCUCUGCCACUGAGCCUCAUUCCUACCCCCCCCCCUUUUUUUUUCUCAUUUUGAGAAAGGGUCUAAGUUGCUCAGGUUGGCCUUGAACCCACUCUGUACCUAAAGCAUACCUUGAAUUUUCAAUUCUCUUGCCUCAGCUUCUAAAUGGUUGGGAUGCUAGACUGCACCAUCAGUCCUGGCUAGCAGAGAGAGUUUGUGUGUGUGUGAGUGUGUGUGUGUGUGUGUGUGUGUGUGUGUGUGUUCUUUCAAAAAAUUGUUAUGUGUAUCAAGUGUUUUGCCCACGUGCAUGUAUGUGUAUACUCCUCAUGCAUGUUGGUGCACCCAGAUACCAGGAGAGAGUGUUAGAGCCCCUGGAACCAUGUGGAUGCUGUGAACCAAACCUGAGUGAGUCCUCAGCAAAAGCAGAAACUGUCCUUAACCACCAGCUUUCUCUGGUAUCACCUCGUGUUAGCAUUUUACACAUAUUAUCUCAUUUAAUCCUUGAUGAUACUUCUAGAACUCAGAUCAUUCCUUCCCCACCACCGCCUUGUUUUGUUUUGACACUGGUUCUUACCAUGUGACCCCAGCUACUAUCCCUGAACUCUCUGUGUAGACCAGGCUGGCCUUGAACUCAAAGAUGUACCUGCCUCUACCUGGGAUUAAGGGUCUGCACCUCCAUGCCCUGCUCAAAUGCUUGGCUUUUAAAAAGACCACUUCUGUGUCUUUAUUAUUAUCAUUACUCCCUUUUCUCUUUAUUAUUAAUAAUUAAUAGCCCAAGCUCUAAACUCAUAGCAACCCUUCUGCUUCAGCCUCCAAGAGCUGGGGAUUCCAGAGUUCAAAUAAAUGCAAGUAAUCUGA